rnacentral:rRNA from 1 species
UGGCGGCCGCGGGAAUUCCAUUUUGGAGGGCAAGUCUGGUGCCAGCCCACUAAAAAAUUCCAGCUCCAAUAGCGUAUAUUAAAGGUGUUGCAGUUAAAAAGCUCGUAGUUGAAUUUCGGGAUCAGUACGUCGGUCAUGCCUUCGGUAUGUACUGGUGUCACUGAUUCCUUCCUUCUGAUGAACCGUUAUGCCAUUUAGUUGGUGUGGUGGGAGAUCAGGACUGUUACUUUGAAAAAAUUAGAGUGUUUAAAGCAGGCUCGCGCUUGAAUACAUUAGCAUGGAAUAAAAAAAUAGGACGUUUGAUCCUAUUUUGUUGGUUUCUAGGAUCUACGUAAUGAUUAAUAGGGAUAGUUGGGGGCAUUAGUAUUCAAUUGUCAGAGGUGAAAUUCUUGGAUUUAUUGAAGACUAACUACUGCGAAAGCAUUUGCCAAGGAUGUUUUCAUUAAUCAAGAACGAAAGUUAGGGGAUCGAAGACGAUCAGAUACCGUCGUAGUCUUAACCAUAAACUAUGCCGACUAGGGAUCGGAUGAUGUUAAUUCUUUAAUGACUCAUUCGGCGCCUUACGGGAAACA